rnacentral:rRNA from 1 species
GACGAACGCUGGCGGCGUGCUUAACACAUGCAAGUCGAACGGAAAGGCCCUGCUUUUGUGGGGUGCUCGAGUGGCGAACGGGUGAGUAACACGUGAGUAACCUGCCCUUGACUUUGGGAUAACUUCAGGAAACUGGGGCUAAUACCGGAUAGGAGCUCCUGCUGCAUGGUGGGGGUUGGAAAGUUUCGGCGGUUGGGGAUGGACUCGCGGCUUAUCAGCUUGUUGGUGGGGUAGUGGCUUACCAAGGCUUUGACGGGUAGCCGGCCUGAGAGGGUGACCGGCCACAUUGGGACUGGGAUACGGCCCAGACUCCUACGGGAGGCAACAGUGGGGAAUAUUGCACAAUGAGCGGAAGCCUGAUGCAGCAACGCCGCGUGCGGGAUGACGGCCUUCGGGUUGUAAACCGCUUUCGCCUGUGACGAAGCGUGAGUGACGGUAAUGGGUAAAGAAGCACCGGCUAACUACGUG